rnacentral:tRNA from 1 species
GUCUCCACAGUGUAGUGGUUAGCACGUCUGCUUUACAUGCAGAAGGUCCUGGGUUCGUACCUGAGGUGGAGCCA